rnacentral:rRNA from 1 species
AUUGAACGCUGGCGGCAGGCUUAACACAUGCAAGUCGAACGAUGAUUAUCUAGCUUGCUAGAUAUGAUUAGUGGCGGACGGGUGAGUAACAUUUAGGAAUCUGCCUAGUAGUGGGGGAUAGCUCGGGGAAACUCGAAUUAAUACCGCAUACGACCUACGGGUGGAAGGGGGCGCAAGCUCUUGCUAUUAGAUGAGCCUAAAUCAGAUUAGCUAGUUGGUGGGGUAAAGGCCCACCAAGGCGACGAUCUGUAACUGGUCUGAGAGGAUGAUCAGUCACACCGGAACUGAGACACGGUCCGGACUCCUACGGGAGGCAGCAGUGGGGAAUAUUGGACAAUGGGGGCAACCCUGAUCCAGCCAUGCCGCGUGCGUGAAGAAGGCCUUUUGGUUGUAAAGCACUUUAAGCAGGGAGGAGAGGCUAAUGGUUAAUACCCAUUAGAUUAGACGUUACCUGCAGAAUAAGCACCGGCUAACUCUGUGCCAGCAGCCGCGGUAAUACAGAGGGUGCGAGCGUUAAUCGGAAUUACUGGGCGUAAAGCGAGUGUAGGUGGCUCAUUAAGUCACAUGUGAAAUCCCCGGGCUUAACCUGGGAACUGCAUGUGAUACUGGUGGUGCUAGAAUAUGUGAGAGGGAAGUAGAAUUCCAGGUGUAGCGGUGAAAUGCGUAGAGAUCUGGAGGAAUACCGAUGGCGAAGGCAGCUUCCUGGCAUAAUAUUGACACUGAGAUUCGAAAGCGUGGGUAGCAAACAGGAUUAGAUACCCUGGUAGUCCACGCCGUAAACGAUGUCUACUAGCCGUUGGGGUCCUUGAGACUUUAGUGGCGCAGUUAACGCGAUAAGUAGACCGCCUGGGGAGUACGGCCGCGAGGUUAAAACUCAAAUGAAUUGACGGGGGCCCGCACAAGCGGUGGAGCAUGUGGUUUAAUUCGAUGCAACGCGAAGAACCUUACCUGGUCUUGACAUAGUGAGAAUCCUGCAGAGAUGCGGGAGUGCCUUCGGGAAUUCACAUACAGGUGCUGCAUGGCUGUCGUCAGCUCGUGUCGUGAGAUGUUGGGUUAAGUCCCGCAACGAGCGCGACCCUUUUCCUUAUUUGCCAGCGGGUUAAGCCGGGAACUUUAAGGAUACUGCCAGUGACAAACUGGAGGAAGGCGGGGACGACGUCAAGUCAUCAUGGCCCUUACGACCAGGGCUACACACGUGCUACAAUGGUAGGUACAGAGGGUUGCUACACAGCGAUGUGAUGCUAAUCUCAAAAAGCCUAUCGUAGUCCGGAUUGGAGUCUGCAACUCGACUCCAUGAAGUCGGAAUCGCUAGUAAUCGCAGAUCAGAAUGCUGCGGUGAAUACGUUCCCGGGCCU